CAGCGUGAGCCUCUGUCUCAAAAAAAGAAAAAAAAGAAAAAAGAAAAAAAAGAAAUGAUUAGUUCAGUAUUUUGUGGUCAAAAUAAUCAGGUUGGACUGACAUUUAUUUUUCAGUCCAUAGAAGUUUUAGGAAGUCCCAGUUGGGCUCUGUAUAUGUCUAAUCUAAUUUUGUCCCUUGAUAUGUGUUUUUUGGUAUUGCUGAUAACUCCAGAUAAGAAGCACUUUGGAGACUCCUCCCACUCACCCAAAGAUCUGAGACCCCAGGUGUACAGAAGAGCAGUUACCCCUUCACAUGUGGCUGUAGGAAAACCAGAAUCACCCCGUUGUGGAUACAAGCAUGGCUUGCAGCAGGGGAGAUGGAACCCCCUACCCUUCUCUUGCUGGCCGGAGCCCCGGCGGACACUGGCAUCCUCUGCCUACGUCCCUUAGUUCCUAGAGCGGAGAGCGUCCAUCCCUGGCCCGCCGUGGGCCCCGAGUGUCAGUCAGAAAAGCUAGACAGCCCGAGUGAUUCCCUUCUUCUGAGAUAGCUCUUGGGUUCACAGUUGCAGGCGGGAAACCUAUUCAGUCGGAUGUACACAAAUCUCUCUAGAGGGCUGCGGCGAAGGGACCUUGGAGCUGGCAGAGGCAUUUCCUGUCUGCGGAGGAUCUUGACUUUGGAGCAUCCGGCCGUCGCCGCGAGCAGCCGAACACUUUCCUGCGUCGCUACUUAAAAAAAAAAAAAAAAAGUCACUGCCAAUAUCAGGCGACUUUCCACAUGAAAGCCAAUGAGGCCGCUUCCCACUUUAAAAACAUUUGUUUAAAACAUAUUUUCUAAGCAUUCCUUAGACUCCGUUUUAUUUUGGAAGGUGACUUUGGUGUCCUUGAAAAACCUUAAGUAUUCAAAAAUCUCAUUCUCUCUGAAGACAACUUCAUAGAUGAACAAGUAUGGGAAACAGUUAACAGAAGAGGAUCCCUCCCCUGAUGCUCGCAGAUGCUUGCAGGCGGAGGACAAUACCAGCCUCUGGCACACAGACGAUGGUUGAGAAAUGCUUGUUGGCUGGGUGUGGUGGUGCAAGCCUGUAAUCACAGCACUUUGGGAGAUCAAGAAUUGCAGUCAUUUGCCUGGUUAUGUGCGAGGAAGGAAAACCCAAAAUAUUACCUAUGAGGGAGGAGGCUGUACAGGAAGCAUGACAGCAUGGCGGGACAUCUGCUCAGCUUGUUGGGAGGCCUCAGGACGCUUGCAAUCAGAAGGUGACGGGGAAGAAGGCAUCACACAGGGUGGGAGCAGGAGCAAGUCCAGGAGGUGCCACACACUUUUACAAAACCAGAUCUCAUCAGAACUUACUCACUAUGGUGAGAACAGCACCAGGCCAUGAGAGAUCUGUCCCCAUGACCCAAACACCUCCCACCAGGCCCCACCUUGAACACUGGGGAUUACAUUUCCACCUGAGAUUUGGGUGGGGACAAACAUCCAAACUGUAUCAGCCUGUAUUUGCAAUCCCUCCAAAACCUGUUAUUGCACAUAUAUUUAAAAAUAAAGUUCAGAACAAAAUAUUUCCUGAGGUUAUACUCAGUUAAUGAAGACAAUUAGAUUUGCAAUUAGCUAACUCCUACUUAAAUAUAUUUAACAUCGCUUACAGAAGAAAAGAACCCCAAACACAUACAAAUAAAUCAGAUUAGGCUUUGUCUUUUGAUUAAUGUUUUUUUCACUGAACAGGAAAAUACUCAUUAACAAAAGUUUCGAGAACAAUAAAGCAACUGGAGGUUAUUAAUAUGAAAAUAUUGUCGAUUGUUCCUCCCAUAGAAAUUUCCCUGGACAGCCCACUUCCUGAAAAAUGACUCAGCAAAAGCUCCCAGAGAAGAGUGUUCAUACUUCAGACAAUUGUUCAGGCCGGAGCUUAUUUCUUAUCUAUAAAGUCCCCUUGUGAUGGAUGAAUCAUGUUUCUUUUCAUUUAUGGGCUUUGAAUGCAAACUAUUUCUUAAUGUCAACAAAUGGCUUCAGUAUUUAAAGCAAAAUAUUUCCGUUUGUUUAGUACUAUUUCCUAUUUUAUGCCUGAAACUGUGUUUUUGAAGGAAUUGUUUGGUUUCAAAAGAGGGAAAAGGGAAUGAUUGUUUAGAAGAAUGUGUGCAAAGGGGCGUGCCUUUGUCAUGGGCAGCCUUUGAGACCUGCCUGGAGUCAGAGGGGGCGUGUGGUAGGUAGCAUGGCCCGAAGAAGCUGGUGUCAUGAAUUCUGCCUAUAAAAGUUCCUGUUUCCUGUGGGAGAAAAGGGUAUCUGGCAGCUUGAUAACAGGUCUUCAAGUAUGUCUUUAAAUUCUCUAUUCGCUGAAGAGAUGCAAACUAGGUGAAUGGAAGAGAAAUGACUCAUAGAACAGUUGCUAAAGAUACUAGAGAGAAGAGCGCAAGAUCUUCACUGAUUUCUUUUCUGUUUUUUUUUUGUUUGUUUGUUUUUUGUUUGUUUUUUUUUGAG